UACGAAGGGGGCUAGCGUUGUUCGGAAUUACUGGGCGUAAAGGGCGCGUAGGCGGUGUGUCAAGUCAGGCGUGAAAGCCCCGGGCUCAACCUGGGAACCGCGCUUGAGACUGGCACGCUAGAGUUCGGGAGAGGAUGGUGGAAUUCCCAGUGUAGAGGUGAAAUUCGUAGAUAUUGGGAAGAACACCGAUGGCGAAGGCAGCCAUCUGGACCGACACUGACGCUGAGGCACGAAAGCGUGGGGAUCAAACAGG
rnacentral:rRNA from 1 species